CAUAGUCAAUCACCAGUAUAAUUAAUAAUCCAAGACAAGAAGAAUCUUUCAAGUGUUGCUAACCAGAACUGAGCAGAUCCAAGUAGCAAUCGUAGCCAAGCCAUUAGUCCAUGUAUGGAGAGACCAGAGAGGGCAUCCCCACGUGGUGAUGCCUCAAGCUUCAGGAGCACUCGACCAGAGUCAGUGUAGCCCUUGGCAGCUGGUGAAGCACAACCUGGGACAAAUGGAAGCUUUAGCAAUGAGCCGAUAGGUCAAGGCUAACCAGAAAGAAUGCAGCUGGGUAAUGCAAGCUAUCCUAUCUUGUAAUUAAAAGGGUUUUC
ensembl:lncRNA SLC12A2-DT SLC12A2 divergent transcript